AUCCUAGUGCAUGGGUAUUACGCAUAUCAGUGAGGAUUCGUCCGAGAUUGCGUAUUUGCUAGUUGAAAACUAUAACCAUGACCGCUCUUAAUCUGCUUCGGCAGGUUAAGGAAUUUUUGAGAAAUAACAACAUUGU
rnacentral:snRNA from 1 species